CUCGGGAGGAGGUGGGAUCCCCUCAGCCUGGAUUGCGAGAGGGCACAGGCCAGGCCAAGGGACCCCACCAGUGCACG
rfam:Myotis brandtii contig170440, whole genome shotgun sequence.